rnacentral:misc_RNA from 1 species
UUUCCGUUGGUGAACCUGCGGAAGGAUCAUUGUCGAUACCUGCCCAAGCAGAACGACCCGCGAACCCGUUUCAUACUCUAUCUAGGGGGGCCGCCAAGGUCCCCCUUCGUCGUCAGGGCGAGGGCGCCUGCACUCGCUCCGGCCGUCGAACAACGAACCCCGGCGCGGACUGCGCCAAGGAAUAUCAACGAGAGAGCUUGCUCCCGCCGCCCCGGGAACGGAGCGUGCCGGGGGCAGUGCCUUCCUCAAUUAUCCAUAACGACUCUCGGCAACGGAUAUCUCGGCUCUCGCAUCGAUGAAGAACGCAGC